UACAGAGGUGGCAAGCGUUGUUCGGAAUUACUGGGCGUAAAGGGCGCGUAGGCGGUCGAUCAAGUCGAGUGUGAAAGCCCCCGGCUCAACUGGGGAGGGUCAUUCGAUACUGAUCGACUCGAAGGCAGGAGAGGGUAGUGGAAUUCCCGGUGUAGUGGUGAAAUGCGUAGAUAUCGGGAGGAACACCAGUGGCGAAGGCGACUACCUGGCCUGUUCUUGACGCUGAGGCGCGAAAGCGUGGGGAGCAAACAGGG
rnacentral:rRNA from 1 species